CCUACGGGAGGCAGCAGUGGGGAAUAUUGCACAAUGGGGGAAACCCUGAUGCAGCGACGCCGCGUGCGUGAAGAAGUAAUUCGGUAUGUAAAGCUCUAUCAGCAGGGAAGAAAAUGACGGUACCUGAGUAAGAAGCCCCGGCUAACUACGUGCCAGCAGCCGCGGUAAUACGUAGGGGGCAGGCGUUAUCCGGAUUUACUGGGUGUAAAGGGAGCGUAGACGGCAGUGCAAGUCUGGAGUGAAAGGCGGGGGCUCAACCCCCGGACUGCACGGGAAACUGUAGGGCUGGAGUGCAGGAGAGGUAAGUGGAAUUCCUAGUGUAGCGGUGAAAUGCGUAGAUAUUAGGAGGAACACCAGUGGCGAAGGCGGCUUACUGGACUGUAACUGACGUUGAGGCUCGAAAGCGUGGGGAGCAAACAGGAUUAGAUACCCGUGUAGUC
rnacentral:rRNA from 1 species